UAAGGAAUAUUGCGCAAUGGGCGAAAGCCUGACGCAGCGACGCCGCGUGGGGGAUGAAGGUCUUCGGAUUGUUAACCCCAAUCCCGAUUUAAGAUGGGAUGGGGUAACCCAUUCGGACGGUACCUCCAGAAGCAGCCACGGCUAACUUCGUGCCAG
rnacentral:rRNA from 1 species